AUGAAGAUAAACUAAUGAAUUAUAAUAAUAACAAUAAUAAGAAUAUUGAUUUAAAAAAAUUUAAUUCAAUGGAAAUUAUAACAAAAAAACAAUUAAAUGAAUUAGAGAAACAAAAUAAAGAUGAUAUGUCAACCUGCCAAAGAUGCCAUAAAUUAAGAAAUUAUGGUAUAGUUGAUAAAGAAAUGAGAGCGGGUUGGAGUAAAAAUAAUAAAUUAUUACAACCCUUACAUUUUGUUAAUUUAUUAAGUGAGAUUAAAACUGGACCAAAAUGUGUUGUAUU
rnacentral:ribozyme from 1 species